CAGUAGCCCGGUAACACGUAGGUCCCGAGCGUUGUCCGAUUUAUUGGGCGUAAAGCGAGCGCAGGCGGUUAGAUAAGUCUGAAGUUAAAGGCUGUGGCUUAACCAUAGUACGCUUUGGAAACUGUUUAACUUGAGUGCAGGAGGGGAGAGUGGAAUUCCAUGUGUAGCGGUGAAAUGCGUAGAUAUAUGGAGGAACACCGGUGGCGAAAGCGGCUCUCUGGCUUGUAACUGACGCUGAGGCUCGAGAGCGUGGGGAGCAAACAGGAUUAGAUACCCGUGUAGUCCCUGUCUCUUAUACACA
rnacentral:rRNA from 1 species